rnacentral:tRNA from 1 species
AAUAAAGUGCCUGAAAAAGGAUUAUUCUGAUAGAAUAAAUUAUGUAAAUUUUUUUACCUUUAUUA